rfam:TPA: Bos taurus chromosome 8, whole genome shotgun sequence.
CCCUUGCUGGUCUGGUGGCUAGGAUUCCUGGCUUUCAUCUAGACUACCCAGGUUCAAUUCUUGGGCAGGGAA